GCAGUAGCCGCGGGAAUACAGAGGGUGCGAGCGUUAAUCGGAUUUACUGGGCGUAAAGCGUGCGUAGGCGGCUUUUUAAGUCGGAUGUGAAAUCCCUGAGCUUAACUUAGGAAUUGCAUUCGAUACUGGGAAGCUAGAGUAUGGGAGAGGAUGGUAGAAUUCCAGGUGUAGCGGUGAAAUGCGUAGAGAUCUGGAGGAAUACCGAUGGCGAAGGCAGCCAUCUGGCCUAAUACUGACGCUGAGGUACGAAAGCAUGGGGAGCAAACAGGAUUAGAUACCCGUGUAGUCCCUGUCUCUUAUAC
rnacentral:rRNA from 1 species